CAGUAGCCGCGGUAAUACGUAGGUGGCAAGCGUUGUCCGGAAUUAUUGGGCGUAAAGGGCUCGCAGGCGGUUUCUUAAGUCUGAUGUGAAAGCCCCCGGCUCAACCGGGGAGGGUCAUUGGAAACUGGGAAACUUGAGUGCAGAAGAAGAGAGUGGAAUUCCACGUGUAGCGGUGAAAUGCGUAGAGAUGUGGAGGAACACCAGUGGCGAAGGCGACUCUCUGGUCUGUAACUGACGCUGAUGCACGAAAGCGUGGGGAGCGAACAGGAUUAGAUACCCGUGUAGUCCCUGUCUCUUAUAC
rnacentral:rRNA from 1 species